rnacentral:lncRNA from 1 species
GGCCCUUUUUAUGAAUCUCUUAAGCUUCAGGGAUUAAAAAAUUAAACUAUGCCAUUACAUUAGGUCAUAAAGGUACAAAUUACACAAGAAGUUUUGCUGCAUUUAUUCAUAUCACAAUUCUUACAUUGUAUACAAUAUGCAUGCAAUCAUUCCUAAGGGAAUAAAUGAACAAUGAAGGCCACUAUUCUUAUAUAAUUAAUCUAGCAGAGAGGGAAUCAGAAUACUAAAGAAAUCUUCGCCAGGCGCGGUGGCUCACGCCUGUAAUCCCAGCACUUUGGGAGCGGAGGUGGGUGGAUCACGAGGUCAGGAGAUCGAGACCAUCCUGGCUAACACAGUGAAAUCCCGUCUCUACUAAAAAAAUACAAAAAAAUUAGCCAGGCGUGGUGGUGGGCGCCUGUAUUCCCAACUACUCGGGAGGCUGAGGCAGGAGAAUGGCGUGAACCCGGGAGGCGGAGCUUGCAGUGAGCCGAGAUCGUGCCAUGGCACUCCAGCCUGGGCAACAGAGCAAGACUCCGUCUCAAAAAAAGCAAAAAACAAAAAACAAAAAAACCCAGAAAUACCUCUAUUAUAUAUGAACAUAUGUAGUAUUUUCUUCAAAAUAGCCAACAUAUGUUGAGUACUUACUAUGUGCCAGACACUGUAAUAAGUGUUUGACAUAAAUAUAUAGUCACUCAAUCCUAGCAACCACUCUCUAAACUAGGUUCUGUCAUCUUCAUUUUACAGAUGAGAAAACUGAGGGUCAGAAAGUUUAAGUAACUUGCCCAAGGUCACACAGAACCAGGAUUGAAACCCCAGUAAUCUCACUCCAAAGCCUGCAUUCUUUUUUUUUUUUUUUUUUGAGACGGAGUCUUGCUCUGUCGCCCAGGCUGGAGUGCAAUGGCGUGAUCUCGGCUCACUGCAAGCUCCGCCUCCCGGGUUCAAGUGAUUCUCCUGCCUCAGCCUCCCUAGUAGCUGGGAUUACAGGCAUGUGCCACCACGCCUGGCUAAUUUUGUAUUUUUAGUAGAGACGGGGUUUCUCCAUGUUGGUCAGGCUGGUCUUGA